UGUGCCAGCCGCCGCGGUAAUACGUAGGGUGCGAGCGUUGUCCGGAAUUAUUGGGCGUAAAGAGCUUGUAGGCGGUUUGUCGCGUCUGCUGUGAAAGCCCGGGGCUUAACCCCGGGUCUGCAGUGGGUACGGGCAGGCUAGAGUGUGGUAGGGGAGACUGGAAUUCCUGGUGUAGCGGUGGAAUGCGCAGAUAUCAGGAGGAACACCGAUGGCGAAGGCAGGUCUCUGGGCCACUACUGACGCUGAGAAGCGAAAGCGU
rnacentral:rRNA from 1 species